rnacentral:rRNA from 1 species
UACGGAGGGUGCAAGCGUUAUCCGGAUUCACUGGGUUUAAAGGGUGCGUAGGAGGGCAGGGAAGUCCGUGGUGAAAUCUCCGAGCUUAACUCGGAAACUGCCGUGGAUACUCUCUGUCUUGAAUCCCGUGGAGAUGAGCGGAAUAUGUCAUGUAGCGGUGAAAUGCUUAGAUAUGACAUAGAACACCAAUUGCGAAGGCAGCUCGUUACACGAAGAUUGACUCUGAGGCACGAAAGCGUGGGGAUCGAACAGG